UAAAUGCACAGGCCAAAACUCUCAGCUGCUGUGUACAAUACUGUAUACAGCAGCUAAAAUUAAAAACCUCCAUCAGAAAGUGUGUGUUCCCUAAUGAACACACACUGUCUGAUGUUCUGUUACCUACCAGCUGAAACCCCCCUUUUCUCCACCCAACUUUACACCACUCUCUUAGCAUGGGUGGCUGUAAGUACACUAGAGCAAACCUAAGUUUCCUUUUCUUUGGGUAGUUUUUUAUUUAUUUAAUUAUUUUUUUCAGUUGUCUCUGCCAUCUUUAACCUGAUUCCCAUUAGUACUAUCCUGACUAGCUCACUGUAAACUGAAAAAAUUAUCAAACUGUCAACCAAAAGUAAACACAUCACCUGUAGGUACAGUAGAGUAAAGCUAAGUUUCCUUUUGUUUGGGUAUUUUUUUUUUCUUCUUCAGUUGUCUCUGCCAUCUUUGACCUGACCAUUAGUGCUGUCCUGACUAUCUCACUGUGAGCAGAAAAAAAAUAUCAAACCAUCAACCAGAAGUAAACACAUCACUUUGGACAACUCAAAGACACAGUCUACCUGCUGUUUAACCCAGUCUUUGGUCGGAGGUGAAGAAGAGAUGACAUCCUCCACACCAUCCCCCUGCUGCUCUCAACAACCAUCAUCGCUGUGCUGGACAGAGACUGCAGCACCCACCAGGACCCUUCUCUCAUGGACUACACAAACAUGUGUUUUACCUGCUUGUGCUCCAGAUGUCCUGAAGCAGCUCUCAAGGACUACCAGACACCAGGCUGGAGCAGAACUGAUGCUGUAGCACCUGUCACUCACUGGGCUCGUUCCUGCUGAACCUCCAAGAGAUAAACCCCUCUUCAAGAAAGUCUGAGGUAAUGUCUUGGUGAACUUGUGUUCAUUUAUUUAUUCUUAGUAAUCUUAGCUGCUGUAUUAAUGCUUGUGACGCUAUUGUACAGCUCUGCUGAUAUCAUCGUCUUUAACAGCAGUGUUUUCUCCCAGGUCUUCUUCAAGCCAGUUAAGAGAGGAAGAACAGCUUAGACACUCAGACAGCUGAACACACCAAAGGUGGACAUCAUGCAGCCACCCUGAGCCUUGAGCCUCUCUGUGUAACGAAGCUUUGCUGCUGCAGACCUGGUGAAGUUGCUCUGGACAGAAAUAUUUUUUGCUCUGCUGCAGUGCUGAAGGUAUUCAUUGUAAUGAUGUGUGUAUUUAUUCAAUAUGUUUAGUUUCACAGAUUAUCAACACAAAUGUUUCUGUUUAUUUCCUGUUUUGAACCAGCUACAUUCUCCUACUUCAAGUCACUGUCUGUUCAUCCACGGUGUAGCCAGUGCAGCUCAGCAGAGUCCUACUAAUGGUGAUCCUUCAAGUCCUGCAGUCCUGUGAAGCAAGCUGCAGCAGAUGUCAUCACAUUCAGAUCAUCAGUUUAUCUUUACUGCAGCUUUAAAGUUUCCCUGAGGUAACGGUGUAUUUCCUUGCCCCAUAACAAUAACCAUGUUUGACCAACAUAGAAAAGCACAGUACUACUGUUAGCACAGGAUUACAGAGUUAAAGUGAAGGGGAUUUUGUUUGUUUUUUUCAGACCUCUCCUCCUCCUGCCUCUGACUCCAAUGAUGCUGUCAACUCGAACACUGAAUAACUGCACACAGCGAUUCUACAACCACAGGUCAAAGGUCAAAUCAUUACCUCACUCUAAACCUUCACUCUGAACUGUACCGGGCUCUGCUUUUGGUUUUGAAAAAAGUGCCCAGACAGAACACAGUACUCACUUGAGGAACUGACUGAUUGUCUUCAGGACAGGACAACUAUUACUCUUGUAUUGUUUUGAAUCCUGUUUUCUACAUUAAGUGAUCGGUUGUCAAUAUCUGUUAAUAUUUUCAGUUUCCUUUAUGUUUCUUGGACUUUAUUUUUUCUAUUUUAUUUUAGUGUUUUCUUCCCCUUUUACUGUGAAUCUGUCCUUAUAUCAAAAGAUGACCAACACUGAUGAAGGGAAAAAAUACCAGUUACUUCAGUUGUUGCAGGCAGCUGAAUUUCUCGUUUUAAUAUGCUCACAAUAUCCUUCAAAUUUACCUACAAGAGAAGACGUGUUUUAGAAAUAAAUGAUGUUCUUUGGGUUUCAGCUGGUAGGUACACUGAAAUUUUUCACGUGUGCUUAGUCUUGGGCUAAUAUUUUGGACAGCAGUGAUCCCAGCAUUACAGUGUCAAACAAGUUCUGCUGAAGGUUUGUCUUCAAAAUGCUCAAAACACAGGACUUGGUUAAACGAGCUGUGUGGAGGGAUUUCAUAGAGGAACAAAGUUUUUAUGCUUAUCCUUAAAAUGUAAUUCUCCAUAGUAGAAAACUUUUUAAAAAGAAACUAUCAACAUGAAGACAACCCAGCAUUUCAGUAAGACAAGUAGUGUGAAUGUUUGGAUAAGAAAACACUGGGAUCUAAAAUGCUGACCAGAUUGUCAGUCCACUACAAUGAGCUGGUGACAGUAUUAGCCUUGGUCUAACUACUGUGAAAAGCCUUUUGGGUGGUAAGGUGGACCAAUACAUGCUAUAAAAAAUACCUUAGUGCCAUAUUUAAGUUAUUAACCUUUCAUCUUACUUUGCCUGUAUAUUUCCGCAAGCCUGGAUGACUUUGCACCUUUUGCAUUUGCAUUCUUUACCUUACCCUCCACAUUAUUUUAAAUUUUAAAUUUAGAUUUAAUUUAAAUUUUUUAUUUGAGUUAUUGAGUUAUUUUUGCAAACAAAAAUGCUGACCAGAUUGUCAGUCCACUACAAUGAGCUGAUGACAGUAUUAGCCUUGGUCUACUGUGAAAAGCGUUUUGGUGGUAAGGUGGACCAAUACAUUUCAUCAAUUUAUUUCAAGUUCUCAAAUCUACUUUUUAAUCUGAUCAUUUUAGAUUUUGUUUAAAGUUUCAGUUUCAUAUCAUUUAAUUUUAUUUAUUAUUAUAAUUAUUUAUUAUUCUAUAAUUUUCUUUUUUUUCUACAUGAGAGGGCCCACAUUUCACUGCAGUUAGCUUUAAAAAAUACUACAAUGCCAUAUUUAAUUCAUAAGCCUUUCACCUUACUUUGCCUGUAUAUUUCCACAAGCCUGGAUAACUUUUAAUUAUUUGCAUUUGCAUUCUUUACCUCACCCUUCACAUUAUUUUACAUUUAUUCUAUACUUGUUGUUUUUCACAUUUAUGUUGUUAUACUGCUGACCGAUUUUAGUAACUAUUUUUUUUAUAACUCUCAAGUCACCAUUUUCAUAUUUUUUUUUAUGUGUAGGUAUAAUAAAGGUUUUUCAGCUGUGCAAGCUUAGUCUUAGGCUAACCUAAACCCUUAAAAACACGCAUAACAGUCCUGUAUCAGACUUUGAAGUCAAAUUUCAAGGUCUGUCUUUAAAGCCCACAACACAGGACUUGGCUCAAUGGGCCAUGACAAAUUUUAUGAGCCAACUUUUGAGGCUUAGUAAUCCGAAAACACAAGAAAAGAGGUGAAUGUGGGUCCAGGGCUGCUGGAGUUUGAAUCCAGUAAAUAAAGGGGUGUUAGCCUCAGUCUAACCACCAUGUGAAGAGCCUUUAAUGAUUGGGCUGAACAAUAUUACAAACCACUAAAAUCUUGAUACCUUUCUUUCACUUACCCCACCCAACUUCACACGACUCUCUUAGUGUGCAUGGGUAGUACACUAGAGCAAAUCUAAGUUUCCAUUUGUUUGGCUAUGUUUUUGUUAAUCUUUUUUUUUUUCAGUCGUAUCUUCCAUCUUUGACCAAACCUCCAUUAGCACUGACUAGCUUCUAAGCUGAAGAAAUGAUCAAACUGAAAUAGAAAAAGAAAUAACCACAUCACUUUGGACAACUCAAGACACAGUCUACCUGCUGUUGGUCAGAGGUGAAUCAGAGAUGACAUCCUCCACACUGUCUCUCUGCUGCUCUCAACAACCAUCCUACACUGUGCUGGAGCUGAACAGAGACUGCAGCACUCACCAGGACCCUGGUGAGUCCUCUUAUCUCAUGGACUUGACAAACAUGUGUUUUACCUGCUAUUGCUCCAGAUGUACUGAAGCAGCUCUCAAUGACCACCAGACACCAGGCUGGAGCAGAACUGAUGCUGUAGCACCUGUCACUCAGUGGGCUCUUCUCUGCUGGACCUCCCAGAAAUAUGCCCUUCCUCAACAAAGCCUGAGGUAAUGUCUUAGUGAACUUGUGUUCAUUUAUUUAUUCUUGGUAAUCUUAGCUGCUGUAUUAUUGCUUGCGACUUCAUUGUACAGCUCUGCUGAUAACAUCGUCGUUAACAUUAGUGAUUUCUGUCAGAUCUUCUUCAAGCCGGCUAUGGAGGAAGAACAGCUCAGACACUCGGGCAGCUGAAAUCGCUUAAAGUGGACAUCAUGCAGCCAUCCAAAAGGCUCUCUGUGUGAGGAAACCUUGCUGCAUGCAGACCACGUGAAGUGGCUCUGGACAGAAAUAUUUGUUCAAUUGUAUUGGUAUUCAUUGUAAUGGUGUGUAUAUUUCUUGAACAUGUUUGGUUUUGUAUAUUAUCAACACAAAUGUUUCGGUUUAUUUCCUAUUUUGAACCAGCUACAUUCUCCUACUUCAAAUCACUGUCUGUUUAUCCACAGUGUAGCCAGUGCAGAUGGUGAUCCUACAAGUCCUGCAGUCCUGUGAAGCAAGCUGCAGCAAAUGUCAACACAUUCAGAUCAUCAGUUUAACCUCGCUACAGCUUUAAACUUUCCCUGAGGUAACGGUGUAUUUCCUUGCCCCAUAACAAUAAUCAUGUUUGACCAACAUAGAAAAGCACAGUACUACUGUUAGCACUGGAUUUUUGUAUUGAUUACACUGUUAAAGUAAAGGGGAUUUUUCUUUGUUUUGUUUUUUCAGGCCUCUCCUCCUGCUGCCUCUGACUCCAGUCAUGCUGUCAACUCGAACACUGAUAACUGCACACAGUGAUUCUACAACUACAGGUCAAAGGUCAAAACCGUCCCAACUUUAAACCUUCACUCUGAACUGUACCGGGCUCUGCUUUUGGUUUUGAACAAAAGUGCCCAAACAGAACACAGUACUCACAUGAGGAACUGACUGAUUGUCUUUAGGACAGGACAACUAUUACUGUUGUAUUGUUUUGAAUCCUGUUGUCCACAUUGUGUGAUCCACUGUAUCUGUUGUUAUUUCAAGUUUCCUUUGUGUUUCUUUAACUUGAUUUUUUUUUUUUUGUGUUUUCUUUCCCUUUUACCAUGUAUCUGUCCUCAUAUCAAAAGAUGACUGACAAUGAUGAAGGGAAAAAAAACUGUUCCUUCAGUUGUUGCAGGCAGCUAAACUUUCCUCAUGUUAUAAUAUGCUUACCGUAUUUCCCCAAUUUACCUACAAGAGACGACAUGUUUUUAGAAACAAAAUAUGUACUUUGGGUUUCAGCUGGUAGGUACACUGAAGGUUUUUCACAUGUGCUUAGUCUUGGGCUAAUAUUUUGGACAGCAGUGAUCUAAGCAUUACAGUGUCAAACAAGUUCUGCUGAAGGUUUGUCUUCAAAAUGCUCAAAACACAGGACUUGGUUAAAACGAGCUGUGUGAACUAAGUUAUUAACAGUCCUGUAUCAUACUUUGAAAUCAAAUUUCAAGGUCUGUCUUUAAAGCCCACAACACAGGACUUGGCUUAAGGAGCCAUGACAAAUUUUAUGACACUUAGAAAAGAAAAGAGGUGAAUGUGGGUCCAGGGCUGCUGGAGUUUGAAUCCAGUGAGUAAUGGGGUGUUAGCCUCAGUCUAACCACCAUGUGAAGAGCCUUUAAUGAUUGGGCGGAAGAAUAUUAGAAACCACUGAAAUUGUGAUACCUUUGUUCAUCAAGAAUCACAGCAACUACAAUAUUGAAACCUCAAGCUUAAAACACACACUGGUCACCCAUGCAAAGAUUUUUGUCGUUUGGUCUUGUUUUUUUUUUAUUAAUAUUAUCAUCAGGGUUAGCUAUCUAAAGGCACCUGUAUUCCUAGGGAGAAAUUAAGUAAGAAAACCAGAACUUAACAAAAGAGCAAAAACAAAGACUCAAGCAAAGAGUUUACAAAAGGAAAGAGUAAACUUUAAAGACUUAAAAUAAAGAAACUCAAAUUAUGGCAAAACAGCCAACACAGCAGCCUGGUAUCAGGGGCAGCGGUGAGGACGGGCUGGGCACUGCAAAACAAACAAAUAAAUCAAUAAAUCUGUCAUGGAAACAUGCCACUUAAAUUAGUAUUUUAAAUGUAACACUACCUACCGAAAGAAAGGGCUCAGCAAGCCAGCAACCCAGGGC